rnacentral:rRNA from 1 species
ACGGGAGGCAGCAGUCGGGAAUAUUGCGCAAUGGAGGAAACUCUGACGCAGUGACGCCGCGUAUAGGAAGAAGGUUUUAGGAUUGUAAACUAUUUUAGACAGGGAAGAAAAAGGACUGUACCUGUAGAAUAAGCUCCGGCUAACUACGUGCCAGCAGCCGCGGUAAUACGUAGGGAGCAAGCGUUAUCCGGAAUUAUUGGGUGUAAAGGGUGCGUAGACGGGAAUUUAAGUUGGUUGUGAAAUCCCUCGGCUUAACUGAGGAACUGCAACCAAAACUGAAUUUCUUGAGUGCAGGAGAGGAAAGCGGAAUUCCUAGUGUAGCGGUGAAAUGCGUAGAUAUUAGGAGGAACACCAGUGGCGAAGGCGGCUUACUGGACUGUAACUGACGUUGAGGCUCGAAAGCGUGGGGAGCAAACAGGAUUAGAUACCCUGGUA